rnacentral:lncRNA from 1 species
UUCAAGUAAAUGGUUGUAUAUGACCUAUAGACUUCGUAAGAGCAAAGACCAUAACAAACAGAAUUAUCCACUAAAACAGACUUCCAAUCAAGUCAAUAAUAAUAUGUGUCUUUCACUAAGUUACUUAGACAUUUAAAAAAGUGAAUAUUUCUACAUCUUAAAUUUCAAUCACCUAACAUAUUGAGAGGACAAAAUGAAUUCCAAACAUCAACCGUACAAACCCAGCUUUCUCAUCCAAUGCAACAGACAGAACCAAUGCAGCAGAAUCAACAAAUAUAACAAAAUCAACUAAUAUAACAUAGUGAACUAAGAUAACAGACUCAAUCAAUUACAAUAGUGAGCCAACCCAGAAUACUCACUCUAGUAUGGGUAAAGACAGCAACCAAAAUAGAGAUGCUUUAGAUAAAGGUACUUUGAGUAGAGUAACAUUUGGCAGAGGUAUCUCUACUAACAACAUGGGAGCAAUUAGGGAAAAUGAGUUUGUUGACAGACAAGUCAAUAAAUUAUAAUGCAAGAGAGGUGGAUUUACUUCUAGGGAGGUACAUGUUAAGGUUGGGAGAAAGAGAAAUAUUAAAAUUUCAUUAGCUAACUUAUUAACUCCCAUCCACAAUAGAAAGGAAAAAUUCUAAAAUGUAAGUAUGGUAUUUGAAUUUUGUUUUUAUUGCUUUUAAUGGUAAGUGAUUUAAUUUUUUAUGUUUUACUUUUCUUUUUUAACUGGUAAUAGCUGGGAUUAUCUUUUAGCAAGUUUGUAAAGUAUCCAUCACAUAAAUUUCAAGUGAAGAGAUUAUCUGAGGUUCUGAGGUCACUAGUGUUCUUUGAUUCAAGCCUCCUACUUUGAGGUGGAAAGAAAAGAAAGCAAUUACUUCAGGACAGUUGCAACAAACUAGAAAUGUAUAGUAAUGACAAGAAAAGCUAAGAGCAAUAAGCACAUAGCAACAACAAUUUUUAAGUUUUCCACAAAACUAGGUUAAUUAGGCUUAAGAGCAACAUUUCACAGUCAUGAAAAAAUAAUAUAUUUUAGAUUUUGGGCACAUUUAAUAAUGUUAUAUGGUUGCAACAAUUUGAUCAUGUUAUAUAUUUUAAAUAAUUAUAUUAUUUUGGAUAUCAAUCAUAGUGAAUAAGUUGUGUGGUUAUUUUGAUUUUGCAAUGACUACUAUUUUUAGAUAGUUUUUAGAUAGGCAAUGUUAAAAUGGUAAUGACUUUUUUCUUUUCAAUUUAAAUGGUAUCAAUAGCUAAUUAUGUCAUUUGAUAUAUUGUCAUAUUUUUAAUUUGAAAGUUUUAUCACUUCAUAUUCACAAAGCAACAACAAAUUCACAAAAAAUUUCAAUAUUUAUAUACUCAAAUCAAUACCAAAAUCAUAAAAACUUUAAUAAUCAUUAAGUUAACAUUCAUUAUAGACCAUAUAGGAGGAUAAUUGCAAUACAUAUCAAGCAAACUGCAAUCUUAUGAUCACAAGCCAAAAAUCUAAUUUCAAGUCUUCAUAAUCACUAACCAAAACAAAACACGAACUAUUGCAUUUGUCCCAAAAUAAUAUUAAACCAUUUUAUAUACUUUAACAAAGCAACUAAACUACAAUAGUUGUUGCAACCGUUACAAUAAUUGUCAUUUUUCUUUUUGAAACUCUAAAUCCAUUGCAUCCCUUCUUCUCAUCUUCUUGCUCAUUUAUUCUUGAUAAUAAUCCAAAAAUUUAUUCUAUAAAUGAUCUGGAAUAGGGGAUCAUACCAACAGAAAAACCACAUGCAACAAUUGUUUUUAUCUCGUAACAAUAAAUUAAUAAUACAUUAUUUAUAAUAAGAAAAAUCAAAUCAAAUUUUGAAGUAUCGGUAUUAAACUCACCCAUAACACUUGCAACAAAAAAAUAUUUUUUUAGGGUUCAUCCUUGCCCAUAAAACCUUCACUAUUGUUGUUUCACAAUAAUGGCACAAUAGAAACACAUUAUUAAUUAAUUUUAUAUCCAUUGAUUCAAUGAACAGCUCAGAUUUGUUUUGAAUUGACUGAAAUUAGGGCUUCCAAUUAAUUAUCAAAUUAGAACCAUCGUUUCUAAAAUUAUUUUUUCUAUAUCGUAUCAAUUUUCUCUUAAUAUAUUAGUUUAAUCUAAACUAUUAUUUUAUCUUUAUUUUAUAACAUAAAUUACAUAUUUUUUAAAUUAUAUAAUUUACAAAUUUUCUCGUAUUUUACUAGAUUUUAAUUAGACUGUGGCACAAUUAAUUAAAAUUAUUUUAUUUAAUUAUUUAUGUUUAAAUUAUUUGUAUUAUUUGUAUUUUUAAAAAAUAUAAUAAAAUUAUUUUUAUUUAAUAAUGUUGGAAAAUUAUUAAAAUUUUGAGGAUCAAAAUAAAUAAAUAAUACACCGACAAUAUCACAUAGUCAUACAUUACUAGUUAAAUAAAUCAUGCAUAUAGAUUCACAGUAUAAGAGUUACUUAAAAUCGCAGUGUAUUUCCAUAAGAAAAAAAUAACUUGAGAACCUAAAUAUCUGGAUAUCCACAUAUUCUACAAUUGUUAUCCUUUCGUUCCACACGAAAAUAGGAGAUCGCUCGACACACGAACAGGAGAUACCCGACUCCUACACAAAGGAUAACCCGAUAGAAGAUUAAUUGUGUGAAUAAACUCUUAUUCUCAAAAAAAUAUUUAUUUCUUGGUAGACCUUUUUAGAGAGCAAAAAAAAAAAAAAAACUCUCAAUGAGAAGAUGAUUAUUCUCUGUUACCAUGAAGAAAUUCAGAUUGCGUUAGAAGAGAGAGAAGAAAAAAAUUAAAUAUUAACUUCAUUUAUUUUAAUCUUUAUAAAAUAAAUUAAACUGAGCUAUUAUAAAUAAGGUAUUGAACCUUAUUACGAGCUUUAUUUUUCGGGCUCUAUCCUGGGUGGAUUAAUUUCUUUCAUCUUCCACUUACACAUGAUAAGGUAUGAUGAUAUGUACACGGCUUCAUAUCUUAUGUUUCUGUAUUUUUAGUUAUUAUUUUUUUUUCAUUCUUUCUUUUAGGACUAAUGUGAUGUAUUUUAGGAAAAAUGCAUCAAGGUAAAUGAUAUCCUAUGACUAAUGAGCUAGAGACUUAAAAUAAGGUGUAUGUGCCAGAUGAGGAUUCGAUCCUUAGACGAUGGGUAAAUGACCUAGAGCUGCCUAGUUUGAGGAACAGACAUUCCCACAGAUGGCUUACGGUCUUGCAGACCCCAUGGUAGCCGCUCUACAAGGACUACAACAAACCCUAGCAAUGUUUUAGCGCCCUUCUGCACCACAAGAGCCAUAUAAGCAUAUUAUUGCAUUUAAAAAAUUGGUGACUGAGAGGUAAAAUGGCACUGGUGAUGCAUAUAGGUUUUUGGAUAUGGUCAAACAGGCGGGUACAAAAAUGCGAUUAUUUGAUAAGCGUCUAAUAGAGUGUGUACGACAUGUUACGGUAGCAUUACCAGGAUAGUGUAUGUUUGAUUAUGUUAUUCCACGGAUAGAGGGGUUGGCUUGGGGCCAAUUUUUAGAACUGCUCACUAACAAAUUCAUUCUAUUGAGCACUAGAGAUAUGAAGCAGUGGGCUUUUGAAUCUUUACAGCAGGGUGGUAGGACUAUAGAUGAGUAUGCUACUGAAUUUCUUGAGUUAAGUCAAUGUGCCCUGACAACUAUUGCCACAGAGGCCAUGAAGGUCAAAGGAUUUCUUAAAAUCCUAGAUUAGAGAUAUGCCACCCUAGUGAUGUUAGCAGAUCAACCAUUUGACCUUGUUGUUGAUCGGGCUAGACAAAUUAAAGCAAAAUACCAAUUAGUGGAUGCUGGAAGGCAAGGAAAAGUUGGAACCAAUGGACAUACUAAUCAGGAUUCUGGACAAUUUAGUGGAUUCCACAUGGGGGCUAGUGAAAGGACUAGGCAGAGUAACUUCAAAGGUAAGAAUAGAGGCAAUAAGAAGGUAGAAACUAGGCAUACCUUUGGAGCAUACAUAUCAAGUUAUAGUUCCAGUAGUGGACAUGGUUUAGGGUGCAAUAGUUAUGGCUCUGCAGGAUCAUCUUUGCACCUUGCUCUUAAUGUGGUAGGACUCAUCAUGGAUCUUGUCUGAUGAGUACAAGGAAUUGUUUCAGAUGUGAAAAAAUGGGACAUUUUGCCAAAGAUUGUCCUAUCUUUAAUGAGUAGCGGACUAGAUCACUGGGUUCAGUUGGUAAUACUCCCAGACCAAUGUUUCUUAGUACUCUUAGCAUACCAGGUAUCCAAUUUAGUAGUUAACAAGGUCGAGGCUAUAGGGGUCAUAGUAUGAGUGGCAGAAGGGGUGGUAGAGGACAAGCACAAAGUUCAACACAGACCAGUAGGGGAUAGGCCAAAGUUUUUAGCCUUACUCAUCAUGAUGCACAAACAUCAAAUGUGAUGGUAGCAGGUAUUCUUCAAUUCUUUUCUUUAGAAGCAUGAGUGUUAGUAGAUUUGGGUGUUACACACUCAUUUGUUUCUCCUGUUUUUGCUUCAAUGUUUAAUAGGAGUUUUAUAGCUUUAGAAUAUCUAUUCUUAGUAGCUACUCCUCUAAAUGAUGCUAUAAUUGUGGCUAUAGUUUUUCCUGGUUGUUUGGUGAGAGUAGAUGGCAAAGAUCUUUCUAUAGAUUUGAUUCCUCUCCUAAUGAUGGAUUUUGAUGUAACUUAGGGAUGGAUUGGUUGUUUGCCCACUAUACCACACUAGAUUGUAGAAAUAAGAGUCAUAUUUCACAUUCUAGGAAUUAAGAAGUUUAAUUUUGAUGGUAUUAGGAAUUUGGCACCUUAUAACCUAGUAUCAGCUAUUAAUGCUAAGACGAGUUGAGGCGAGGCUGUCAAGGUUAUUUGGCGAUAAUGAAAAACACCUCUAUAGAAAGUCCUAGUGUAGAUAAUGUUCUUGUGGUCAAGGAAUUUUCUGAUGUCUUUCCUAAGCUACCAGGGUUGCCUCUUGAGAGAGAAAUUGAGCUUUGCAUAGAUGUUAUACCAGACAUAAAUUUCAUCUCGAUGCCACCAUAUAGGAUGGCCCCAUUAGAGCUUAAAGAAUUAAAAGAGCAGUUGCAGGAGUUGUUAGAAAAUGGGUUUAUCCAACCGAGCACAUCACCCUGGGGUACUCCCAUCUUAUUUGUGAGAAAGAAGGAUGAAUCUUUAAGGCUGUAUAUUGAUUAUAGACAGUUGAAUAAGGUAACAGUUAAGGAUAAAUAUCUACUUCCUCAAAUUGGUGACUUAUUUGAUCAAUUGCAAAGGACUCAAUACUUGUAAUACCCGGCUAGAGUUCGGCGUCGGAAGUCCUGUAGUCCGGUGGAAUUUCUGAUGUCGAAAUCCUCUAACAAGGUACGGAUUAUGUUUUGCUAUGUUUUGAAAGCGUUUUCAUGUUUUAAAGUGUUUAAAGAAGUAAGGUUUUGCAAGAAAAGCACCAAGGCAUAAAAGCCAAGGUUCGGCCGCCGAAGGUGACUUUCGGCCGCUGAACGUGCAUGGCAUUCGGGAUUCUCAUUCGGCCGUCGUAGUUGGUCUGGCCAGCCAACUAUAAAAGGCCCUAGGUCGGUCAAAUGGAUAAGAUUUUCUUUCCAUUUGCACAAGCUGAGGUGAGACUUGAUCUUCCUUGAGUGAUUUAUGUGUUUUCUCAAAUCUUUCAUGGUUUUGAUGGAUUUUCAUGUGGUUUUGAAGUUUUUGAGCAAAAGAGCAAGUUUAGAAGCUUGGAGAGUUUGAGAGAGGAUUUCUUCAUAUCUCCACGUAGGGAUCGUUCAAUCUCUUGUUUGGAAGAGGUAAGUGAAGAUCCUGAACUUCCUUUCUUGAUUUUGAAGGUUUUAUGGGAGGUGUAUGGGUAGUUAUGCAUGUUUAGGUUAAGGGAGGUUUUUGAGGAUUUUGGUGUAUCAGCAUGGUUAAGUGUUGUUUGAUAUGUUUGUUGGAGGUGUUAGGAGAGGUGUAGACCUCUUUAUGCAUGUUAUAUGGUAUAUGCUAGUUGGGAGUAGUUGCUAUGCAUGUUGAAUAGGUUUUGGGUGAAGUUUGCAUGAAACAGAGCAGGUUUCUGCCCAACGGGCAAAACCAGGUUCGACCGCCGAACCCCUUGUGGAGGCAGUUUCGGCUGCCAAAGCUUGCCCCCGAACCUUUGGACUUUCGUCUCUGGAGGCAAGGUUCGGCCGCCGAAAGUGCUGCCGAAGGUUGAGUUUCAUCUCUGGACGAGACUUUCGGCUGCCGAAGGUGCCGCCGAACAUACAUGAGUUUCAUCUCUGGAGGGGAGUUUCGGCCGCCGAACCUGCCGCCGAAAGUGCCCUGUCCAGCUUUCUUUUGCAUGUUUUAUGUGAUUGUUCUAGGGUUUUUGGGGAGUUGCUUAGAGAUGUUCUUGAGUUAGUUUGGUCCCUCAUUUCAGUCCACCUGUGUAGGAACGGACCAGAGGAACCAAGGAGUUCAGCAGUGAGCACUGCUUCAGAACCUGCAGAGUCAGUACAGAGUCAGCCAGAGGUGAGUGGAACUGAACUAAAUCUUUUACUAUGAGAACUCAAACAUUUUUAGCAUGUUUCAUGCAUCAUUUAUACCAUGUUUAUAGUAUUGCAUUAAUGAGCACGAAGAUGUUGCAUUAAUCAGUGCAUGUACAGAUCGGGCGUAGCUUGGAUUCAUUAGCCCCCUAAAUGAAGACCUGAGGAGCCCUGAAAGGGCCGGGCACACGGUACCAUAGGGUGCUGAAUGAAGACCUGAGGAGCUCCUUCGCGGGCCGGGCAAUGUGGGGGAAUUUUGAAUUAGUCCGUCUGAGAUUAUGUGAUUUACUUGUGUUGUGAUGCAUUCCAUGAGAUCAUGUUUUAUAACAUGUUUUAUAUGUACUACUCACUGGGCUAGUAUAGCUCACCCCUCUCCCUUAACCCCAGUCUUGCAGGUUCAGAGUCCAGAGAGAUCAGCAGGGUACAGAUAAAGAGAAGAGUUAUGUAAUAGCUAGUGUGGACAUGUAAUUGUCACAGAUAGUGUAUGUUGUAUAGAUGAUGCUUGACCUUAUGAGUUAUAAUCCUUUUGUAUACAUGAUCUUUUAUGUAAAUGUUUUUAUGUUAUAUGUAUGAAAACCCAGGCUUAACAGGAUAUGAGUUAGCCCACCUAGAGCAAAGACGAGAGCUCUAGCAGUGGUUUACAGUGUAAAGAUAGUGUAUGCACAGGUUAAGCCUUGGAACAGAGAAAAGUUUUAAGUUUUACAGAAAAUGUAUGAUCAUGUAUGGGAUUUCACAGGUACACAGAGUUCACAGUAGGCUUGCUACGGGUCCCGGCGGCCUUAAGCCAAUCUGGAUCCUAGCGCCGGUAGCAGUUCGGUUUUCGGGCUGUUACAAUACUUCUCUAAAAUUGACCUAAGGUUAGGCUAUCAUCAAUUGAGGAUACAAAGGGAGGAUCUACAAAAGAUAACUUUUCAAACUCGAUAACAUUAUGAGUUUUUGGUAAUGUCUUUUGGACUCAAUAAUGCACCAGCAGCUUUUAUGGACCUAAUGAAUACGGCGUUUAGGCUAUUUCUAGACUGUUUAUAAUUGUAUUCAUAGAUGAUAUCUUGUAUAUUCUUGAAUUGAAGAGGAGCAUGCUUGGAAUUUGAGGAUGGUCUUACAAACAUUGAGGAACAUAAGCUUUAUGCCAAGUUUUCUAAAUGUGAGUUCUGAUUUAGAGUAUAUAUUUCUUGGGACAUAUGGUUUCUAAAGAAGGCAUUCAAUUUGAUCCUAAGAAGAUAGAGACAGUAACUAAUUGGUUAAGGCUUACUAUGUUAUAGAGAUAUGGAGUUUUCUUGGCUUAGCUGGGUAUUAUCGAUGAUUUGCGCAUGAUUUCUCCAAAAUUGCAACUCCUUUUACCCAUUUGACACAAAAGAAUGUGAAUUUUAUUUGGUCUGAUGCUUGCGAAGAGAGCUUUCAAAAAGCUUAAGAAUUGUUUAACUAUAGCCCCUGUCUUGACUUUACCAUUUAGUGGAGGCGAAGAUACAGUGUACUGUGAUGCAUCUAGAGUUAGGUUGGGUUGUGUUUUGAUGCAGCAUAGUAAAGUGGUAGCUUAUGCAUUCCGACAAUUGAAGAAACAUGAACAAAAUUAUUCCACGCAUAAUCUUGAAAUGAUGGCUGUAAUUUUUGCACUAAAGAUAUAGAGUGACAGAGCAUAUUUUAGCCCACUUUAUCAUGAUAUUAAUGAUGUUUAUUUGCACCUUUUCUGCCUAAUUUUGUGAUUUUGUUCAUGUUUUGCAGAUUUUAGGUGUGAAAAGACAAUCUGGAAAAAAUGCUCUUAAAACUGCAAAAAAGGGCCAAAUAUGGAAAGUUCCAGAAAAGGAAAGUUUUCAUAUAUGGAAAGUUCCAAAUAAGGAAAGUUUUCAUAUAUGGAAAGUGCCAAAUAAGGAAAGAGUCAGACAGCACAAUCAGCAAACUGCCCGAAAUUCGAACUGCAGAAUCUUUCCUGCCUUAUUUAGAACAUGUGCCAAGAAAGAAAAGUUUUCAAAUAAGGCAGGUUUUCAGAAAAGGAAAGUCUUCAAAUGAGGAAAGUGCAGAGACAAAAGUAAAUAAGGAAAGCUCAGUCAGGAAAUUAUUUGAAUUUCGAAUCGCAGAUCUUUCUUUCCUUAUUCAAAGAUGUGCACAUACUGCAGCAGUCAAAUCUUCCAAUUUAGGCAGCAAAGUCUCAUCAAGGCACACUUGCCUCUUCUGCGUUCAGCGUUUAAAAUUCAAAUGAAGGCUCCGUCUAAAAGGGAAAGACUCGGCAGAUCCACUUUCCCUCUUGCAUUCAAUAACUGCGCACUACUUGCCUUUUGCAACAUGAUCCGCGCACCACUCUCUAUUCAGGAAGGAAAUCUCAAUGCACUUAGCCUUUAUUCAGUCCAGAUUCAUAAUUCAAAAGAGGCUCCAUCUAAAUAGGAAGUUUGGACAGCAAAUACUUCCUAUUCAGAAGCAUCCGCGCGCCUACCUCUUCUGCAGAGCUUGAUCCGCGCACCUCUUUCCCAUUCAGCACCAUCUGCGCGCAUGCCUCUCUCCUGCAGAGCAAGCCACGACUUUUCUUCCUCUAUUGGCAUCCUUGGAUCGCUCUUCCUUCCUUUUCAGGCAUAAGGUACGCUCCUUUCCUAUUCUGAAGGCCAUCUGCGCACCACCUUCCAUCUGAAAGCCUUGAUUAUCUCCAUCUUCCUCUUCUGCAACAACUUGGGCAGCAAGUUGAGUUCGGGCAGCACCUUGGGCAGCCUCUACACUAAUUAGGAAGACCUAGGCAGCACCACAACUCUAUAAAAAGGUACUCUCUUUGGUAGCCACGAAUUUGGACUCCCUUCAGACUCAUCUUCUCCUUCUCAUCCGGAUCAAGCAAGGCCGCGCCUCCACCACCUUCGGCUUCUUCUUCUCUUCUUCUACCUUUCUUUAUGGUUUUUGUUUCAGCCAUGAGUGGCUGAAACCUUUCAUUCUAGUUGAAGAACAAGUGAAGCUUUAGUUGUAUUGUGGAUUGAGAGACUUGGACUACAUUGUUUAUCUUUUUGUUAUUCAGUAUUCUUGUGAUUUCAUGCUUAAGGACAUUAUUGCUUUGUUAUUUAAGAUCUCCAUUGAUUCUUUGUUGCAAGUUAAUAUAUUAUUGGUUUGAAUGAUUUUAAGUCCGUAAUUGCUUGAUUUGUUCAACCAUAAGAACACUUGGUGCACAACCAAGGAAAUUGCAUGAUCUAGUGUUGUCUCCAUGCUUGUGGGUGACUAGAAUUGGUUCUCUCUAUUUCUUUAUGCGAUUGACUAUUGUAAAAGGCCUUAGGCUCAAAGACGUUCUUUGGCAAUUGUUAAUUAGUAAUUAAUUGGAGGACUUUCUCUAAUUGAUUUAAUCUUAAAGAGAGACAAUGGAUGUGAGAAGCUUCUUCAAUCUCCAUGGCCAAUUUAUUGAAUUAACAAAGGAACAUUUGAGUCAAUGAUCAAUCCCAUCAACUAAAGUGAAUCUGAAUCUUCAACUAGAGCUUUUACCACCAUUGUUUUACACUUAAUUUAUCAUCUGCUUUCUUUUUAAUUGCUCUUUUCAUUAGUUUAAUCAAAUCAAUCUCAAAACCCCCCAUUUUUACUUUACAUGCACUUGCACUUUCUUUUCUUUUCUGCUCUUUUUAAUUUGGUCUACUCAAGGAAGGUAAAUAAGUAUCAAUUCCCUGUGGAUACGAUCCUUUCACCACUAUCUACAGUAUUUUUAUUGUUGAUAACUGAAUUGAUUAUUUUGACCGGCUUCGACAACCGCUCCGUCAUAGAGGCACUAUCUUUAUGGAGAGACGUGUGAGAUAUACACUUAUCAUAAAGGCUUGAAGUAUAUCUUCUAGCAAAGGGAUUUAAAUUGAAGGCAAAGGAGAUGUAUGAAACUUUUAAAAGAUUAUGAUUACACUAUUCAAUAUCACCCUGGCAAGGCAAAUAUGGUGGCAGAUGCCUUAAGUAGAAAAUCAUCGGGUAGUCUUGCACAUAUAACAGCAGAGAAAAGGCCCUUGAUAGAAGAACUAUAUGAAUUUAUGGACCAGGUUUUGGCUCUUGAUAUAUCUAGUUCAAAUAUAGUCUUAGCACAUUUCAGAGUAUAACUAGAUCUUAGAGAUAAAAUUAGAAUUUUGCAGCAUAGGGACCCACAAUUAAUGGAACUGUAGAAAAGGUAAAAGAGGGUGAAGAUUGUCGCUUUGGAUUCGUGGUGAUGGUACUCUCAUGCAAAGGUCAAGGGUAUAUAUGCCUGAUUAGAUAAUUUGAGAAAUGAAAUCAUGCAAGAAGCACAUUACACACCCUACACUAUUCACCCUAGGUCUACAAAAAUGUAUCAUGAUAUGAAAGACAAGUAUUAGCGGAAUGGCAUGAAGCAAGAUAUUGCAAAAAUUUAUAUCUAAGUGCCUAACAUGUCAGAAAGUGAAGUUUGAACAUCAAAGACUUUCAGGGAAGCUUCAAGAGAUCCCUAUUCUAUAAUGGAAAUGAGAAAUGAUCAUGAUGGACUUUGUAUCUAGGUUGCCUCGUACUACUAGAGAAUAUAACUCCAUUUGGAUAAUUGUAGAUCGCUUGACUAAGUUAGCUCACAUUUUAAAUAUGAAAAUGACCCAUUCAGUUAUUCAGUAUGUUAAGUUGUAUGUUUGAGAGAUAGUUAGAUUGCAUGGAAUUCCAACUUCUAUAGGGUAAUUGUAGAUCGCUCGUCUAAGUCAGCUCACAUUUUAAAUGUGAAAAUGACCCAUUCAAUUGCUCAGUAUGUUAAGUUGUAUGUUCGAUAGAUAGUUAGAUUGCAUGGAAUUCCAACUUCUAUAAUCAAAUAGAGGACUUCAAUUCACUUCUCAGUUUUGGAAGGAGUUACAGGAGGCACUUGGCACUCGGUUGAAUUUUAGUACAGUCUUCUACCUGCAGACUGAUGAACAAUCCGAGAGGACUAUUCAAACAUUAAAAGAUAUGCUUUGUAUUUCUGUCAUGGAUUUUAGUGGCCAAUGGGAUGAUCAACUGCCAUUGGUGGAGUUUGCUUAUGAUAAUAGUUAUAAUUCCAAUAUCAGUAUGACACCUUAUGAGGCUCUUUAUGGAAGAAAAUGCAGAACCUCUUUAUAUUGAAAAGAAGUUGGUGAAGUCAAGGUUUAUACUGUUGACUUGGUUCAAUAUAUAGUAGAAAAGGUAUCUUUGAUCAAGAAACAGUUAAAAACAUCUUUAAGUAAAAAAAAAAAAAAAGUAAUGCAGACCGUAAGAGGCGAGAUGUGGAGUUUGCAAUUGGAGAUUAUGUAUUUCUGAAAGUCUCCCCUAUGAAGGGAGUGAUGAGAUUUGAAAAGAAAGGUAAGUUGACAACCUCGAUAUGGGGGACCUUUUGAAAUCAUAGGCAAAGUUGGGGCAGUUGUCUAUCGAUUGGAGUUACCAUCAGAGUUUUCACAUGUCCACCCUAUGUUUCACUUCUCAAUGCUACGUAAGUACGUAUAUGACCCAUCACACUUGUUACAAUCCGACUUAGUAGAAAUCUGUGAGGACUUAUCAUAUGAGGAACAGCCUGUGCCUAUAAUGGAUCAUUAGAUACGUCAACUUCGGUCAAAGCAAACACCAAUAGUUAGGGUCUUAUGGAUAAAUCAAUUUGUGGAAGAGUGCAAAUGGGAAUCAGAGAGAGAUAUGCGGACAACUACCCUCACUUGUUUGACUUGUGAUCUUAGCAUGUUUUGUAACUAGUCUAUCUUAUUUGCCUUAUUUUAAAUUCAAGGAAGAAUUUCUUUAAGGAGGGAAGAAUAUAAUGUCCCAAAUUUUUUAUUUAUUUACCUUAUUAUUAUCAAUAUAAUAAUUUGGUAUUUUAAAUUUAAAUUUACUAUGAAACUUCUUGAGAAUUUUCUAAUUUUUAAUUUUUGAAAUUUUAUAUUUUAUUGUAUACAAUUUUGAGAAUUUAUUUUAAAUUAUUUAAAUAGUACAUGGAAAGUUUUAAAUUUAGUUUUGUAUUUUAAAAUUUUUCUCGGACUUCCAUAAAUUUUUAAAAUUUUUUCUAAACUCAUUUAUAGUUAUAAGACAGAGCAAAAAGACUAAAAAUAAAAUUAUAAAUUAAAAUAGUCCUAAAAUAAAUCGGAUUGUUCAAAUCAAACCAAUCAGAUCAGAUUGCUCUAAUCAAACUAAUCAAAUGAGAUCGGUUGAAUUAAACGGGACCACCUCCUUUUUGUCCUCUCUCGUGCAACCCCUCCAAUUUCUUCUUCCUUCUUUCUUUUUUCUUUUUCUUCCCUUUUCCUUCCCAUCAAUUUUCUCUUGAUUUUUUCCACCUCCGACCACGAUUUCCAACAAGAUUAGACUUUUUUUAUUUCGCUCCUUACAAACUUUACAUAGAUAUCAAUUUUGCCCGCCUUCAUCGCUAGACAAGCAUUCAAAAUUUAUGAUCCUUUUAAUUUUCUCUUAAAAUUAAUCUGAAACCAGACAUCCUAUCAAAAAUCUAAGGUUACCAGCGUGUCAUACUCAUUGAGAUCUUCAUGUGGAUACUAAUUUCAUAAUUUUUUGACACCAAAAAAUUUUGAAGACCCAUAAGUUUGACUACGAGUUUUUGAAUCCUUAGAAUCAUGUUUUUUAUGAAAUAAAAAUAUAUUCUUAUCUGUGGUAUUAUGAGCUUCAUGUAGGUACCUUCGUUUCAGAGAUAUUCUACAGGCGUCCCGGACUACAAUUUUGGUCUGGAUGCAUGGUCUCCAAAACUAUUCUCCAAAAGGGAUCAAUAUUAUAGAUUUUUCUACUAUUUUUAAACGCUCCGAACGCAUUUCAGAUAUCAAAAUUAGCAUUGGUAAGCCUAAACUUAAAUUAUCAUUUUAUAUUUAGCUUAAUAUAUUAUUGAAUAUAUUAGAAUGACUAUAAAUGAGUAAAAUUAUUUGCUAUAGCAAUAUACUAUAAUUAAAGACUUUUAGGGAAUGUUUGUGGAAUUCUUAUAAUGUAUUUAAUUUUUAAAGAAUUGUAGAAAAUCUUAAAUAUGUGAGCUAAAAUUUAUAAUUUGCUAUUGUUGGUUGAUUUUGGCAAUAUACGAAAAAGUCAUGUAUCAUUGUGUCAUGGGCUUGAGGCCUUUGAGUUAUUAAAAAAUAUGAAUUAUAUUGUCCUGCAAGGUGUAAGAUUCUAAAUAUAGAAGAAACUCUGAAAUUUUGGUGCAAAAGUCUUUGCCUCGUUAUUAUCUGAUAAAAUCUUUAGAAGGAAAAUUUUAGCAAUAAAUAUGAAAUUUGCCAUAAUUUCUAUUGAAAUUACUAACAAAUAGAAAGAAACCGAACCUAUAGUCUUUUGCAACAAAUCAUAUGAAGAUAAACAAAAAUAAUAGGCUUUGGAAAUUUAAGGAAAAAGAGAAUAAAUUUAUAAAUUUUAAAUUGAAUUAUAUUAAAAUUUAUCCUUCAUUUGGUAUCAAAUAUUUUAUAAAAAUUCAAUUCAGUUAAUUUUUUUUAAUAAUUCUCUUAUUUGAAAUGAAAUAAUUUAAUUCUUUUUAAUUUAAAAUUUUCUGUAAUACCCGGCUAGACUCCGGUAUCGGAAUUCCUACCGUCCGGUGGAAUCUCGGAUGUCGGGACACUCUAGAAGGGUAAGAAUAUGUUUUUUCUAAAACGUUUUUAUGUAUUUUAUGGUUUUAAAUAAGAAAGAAAUUGAGUUUUGAAUGAAAAAGACCAUAGAGGGAAAAUCCAGGUUCGGCCGCCGAACCUCAUGUUCGGCCGCCAAACAUGCAUGAGUUUUGGAAUCACCUUCGGCUUCCGAAGGUGGCCUAGCCAGCCACCUAUAAGAGGCUCCAUGGCCGAAAAUAGGCGAGUUUCUCCCCUAUUUUCGGCCAACGGUGAGUCCAUGCCCUCCCAUGGUUGGUUUUGAUGAUUUUCCUCAAAUUUUUCAAGUUUUAACGAGUUCUAGCUUGGUUUUGAAGAUUUUUGGAGCUAAGAUCAAUAUUUGAAGCUUGGAGACCCAGGAGCUCUCUUCCUCCAUUUCUCCAAGUUUAGGUCAUCUCCCCUCUCGAUUUUUAAGAGGUAAAAGUAGAUCUUUAGCUUAUUCCAUGUUUUAAACAAGUUUUAUGAGAUUUUUUAGGUAGAAAUGCAUGUUUAGGUUAAUGUUAAGUUUAUGGUUGAUGAAUGUUGUAUGAGUUGUUAUAUGUGUUUGUGUUGGGGUUUAGGUUAGUUUGAGACCCCUAUAUGCUUAUUUGCUUGUGUAUACAUGUUGUAGAAUAGCUAAAUGCAUGAUUGAAUGGUUUGUGAGGCAAAGUGUGCAUGAGGAGGCUGAGUUCUACCCUUUGGAAGAACUCAGGUUUGGCAGCCGAAGGACUUUCGGCUGCCGAACCUGCCUGUGAAGGCAAGCUUUCGGCUGCCGAACCCUGCCCUCGAAAGUUGGACUUUCGGCUCUGGAAGGGAAUUUUGGCCGCCGAAGGUGCCGCCGAACAUGCACGAGUUUCGGCUCUGGAGGGACUUUCGGCCGCCGAACCUGCCACUGAAAGUGCCCUAUUCAGCCUUCCUUUGCAUGAUUUAUACGAUUGUUUUAAGGUGUUUUAGGGGGUUUUUGGGGAGUAUUUUAGAGUCAUGUUCAUGUAUGUUUGGUCCCUCAUUUGAGUCCACUUGUGUAGGUUCGGACCCGAGGAACCGAGGACCCCAGCUGUGAGAUAGCUGCUUCAGUGUCUUGUCAGAACUAGCUUGAGGUGAGUAGAACUAAAAUAUAUCUUAAAUAAUGAAAGAUUUUAGCAUGUUUCAUGCAUCAUGAAUGCCAUGUUUAUAUUAGGUUGUAUUGCAUUAGAAUUCACGAAGAUGAUGCAUUGUAUCCUUUGUUGUUGAUGUAGAUGGAUGUUGGAUGACCCAUUAGCCCUCAAUAUGUAUGAUGAUUAAUGAAAGUCCAAGGCUGCCCAUGUCCACGCGUCCUGGCAUUUAUUUAUGUAUGAUGAUUAAUGAAAGUCUAGGGCUACCCAUGUCCACGCGUCUUGGCAUUGUGUGAUGAUUAAGAGGAAGUCCUGCGGAGCCCCGUCGAGGGCCGGGCACAUUGGAAUUAGAGGGCUAUUGGUGACAAGUCCAUCCGUGAUGUGAAUUGUAUGUGUUGUGAUGCAUUACAUGAAAGCAUGACUUAUGAUAAUGUUUUAUGGUUCUGCUCACUGGGCUUUUUAGCUCACCCCAUUCCCUUAACCCCCCAGGUGUGCAGGUACGGGAUAGACCAGGAUGUCAGCAAGAGUAAAGUCAUGUCAUGUUUUAUGUAAUAGCUAGAUGUGGACAUGAAAAAGACAUUGUAAUGUAAAGUGUUGAACAGUCAUGUAAUGUAAUGAUGAUAUUGAGGUUUAGAGUUGUGUUUGACCUUAGUAUGUAAAGUUAAUCCCUUUUUCGCAUGAUCUAUGAAAUGUUUUAAUGAUAUUUUAUGUAAACCAAGCUUAAUGUAUGAUAUAUUACCCCAUUGGAGCAUUUGAUGAGGGCUCCAGUGUGAGGUUUUAUGAUUAUGAGUUUGUGCAUGCACAGAUUAAGCUUGGUAAAUGAAAGAAAAAGUUUAAAGUUUUAUGUAUAUGAUUGAUCAUGUAUGGGAUUUAACAGGUAUACAGGAUGUAUGUUAGGCUUGCUACGGGUCCCGACGGCCUUAUGCCGAUCUGGAUCCUAGCGCCAAUAGCGGUCCGGUUUCCGGGUCAUUACAUUUUCAUUCUAAAAGAACUUAAAUUUUGCAUAAUUUUAUAAGAAUUCAUUUGAAUAAUUUUUUUAUAAAAUGAAUCAUGUUAAACAAAGCAUUAAUAAUUUAAAUUAAAUCACAAAAUAAUAAAAAUUUUGGAUAUUAAUUUUAGAAACUUUUAUCUAGAUGAGAUUGUAACAGCCCGGCCCCGUACGACCGGCCCUGUUACCGCUCACCUCCUGGGGGCGGCCACUGUGAGCAGCUCUUAACAUCCCUUCACCCUCACGGGUUCCGGGCAGGAUUUGUCCCUCGGGGGAGCCAGUACGGCCCGCCCUAGCCCGAGUGGAUUUGGCCCAAUUCCUUCCUCUGGGAAUUAGGUCGCCUCCCCCACUGCUCGAACCCUUGACCUCCCACUUUAAGGGAAUAGUCUGGUGAGAGUGAGUACCAAUUCUUCUAAGGAAUUGGGCCAAAUCCACUCGGGCUAGGGCGGGCCGUACUGGCUCCCCCGAGGGACAAAUCCUGCCCGGAACCCGUGAGGGUGAAGGGAUGUUAAGAGCUGCUCACAGUGGCCGCCGCGCCCAGGAGGUGUAACGGGCUGUGAGCGGUAACAGGGCCGGUCGUACGGGGCCGGGCUGUUACAUAAAAAGGAGUAGAAGAAUUGGUACUCACUCUCACCAGACUAUUCCCUUAAAGUGGGAGGUCAAGGGUUCGAGCAGUGGGGGAGGCGACCUAAUUCCCAGAGGAAGGAAUUGGGCCAAAUCCACUUGGGAAGAACGGGUUAGAGUCCCGCGAACCAAGGGGACAAAUCCUGCUUGGAACCCGUGAGGGUGAAGGGAUGUUAAGAGCUGCUCACAGUGGCUGGGCCCAGAGGAAGGUCACGGGCUGUGAGCGGUAACAGUGCCGGGGAUCACGUCCGGGCUGUUACAGAGAUAUGAAUAUAUUAAAAUAAGUCAAAACAUAUGGAUAAAUAAUUAAAAAUUUUAGAUUUUAUUUUUUGUGAAAACAUGUAUAUUAUGAAAAAGUCAAUUAAAAUAAAAAAAAUUUAAUAUUAGCUAUUUUGUGAUUUAAUUUAAAACUUUAAAAAUUGAUAAAAUUAUCUACCUACUUCAUUGUAAUUAUUAUUAUUUUUUUUGAAAUAGGGGUUGGGGGAGUCGAACCUUAGACCUUUCAAGGCUACAGGAUGCACUUUCCACCAGACUAAACCUUGGAGUGCUUCAUUGUAAUUAUUUUUAAAUUUAAAAUUUGAAUUAAGAAAAAUACGUUUUAUUAAUAUAUGGCAAUAUCACAUAAUUUAUUUUAUUAUAUUUAUAUGUCGCGUAAAUAUUUAUUUUAUUAUAUUUAUAUGUAGAUAACGACUAUUGAUACAAAUAACUCAAAAAUUUUUAUUAUUUUAUAAUUUUCAUUUAAAUCUUUAAAAUUUGAUAUAAUUUAUUUUAAAAUCUCUAAAGAUAUUUUCUGGUGCGAAUAAAUAAAAUUACAGUUUUUUUUAUUUGCUAUAGUUUCAAUAAAUUUUGUAAGAAGCCGGAGGGGCAGCAAUGAAAGCGAUAAUAAAUAUAGAAGUUGCGGUCAAUAAAGUAGGGAUCAUCAAAACACCAAACCAUCCAAUGUAAAGACGGUUUUUAGUGCUGGUUAUCCAGUUACAGAAACGACCCCAUAGACUUUCGCUUUCGCGUCUCUCUAAAAUUGCAGUCAUGUUAAAAUCUUGGUUUAUUUAAUCAUCAGGGACUCCCAAACACACGAAUUCUCUAUAAAUCGAAAUAGAUAAUUGAGGACUUGCUAUUCAACAGUAUAACAUGACUUAUAUACCCGUGUCAACCAACACCAACAUUCAUAGAGAUAUAUUUAU